rnacentral:rRNA from 1 species
GAUGAACGCUGGCGGCGUGCCUAAUACAUGCAAGUCGAGCGAACAGACGAGGAGCUUGCUCCUUUGACGUUAGCGGCGGACGGGUGAGUAACACGUAUGUAACCUACCCAUAAGACUGGGAUAACUUCGGGAAACCGGAGCUAAUACCGGAGAAUAUUUCGAACCGCAUGGUUCGAUAGUGAAAGAUGGCUUUGCUAUCACUUAUAGAUGGACCUGCGCCGUAUUAGCUAGUUGGUAAGGUAACGGCUUACCAAGGCAACGAUACGUAGCCGACCGCAGAGGGGGAUAGGCCACCCUGGAACUGAGACACGGUCCAGACUACUACGGGAGGCCGCAGUAGGGAAUCUUCCGCAAUGGGCGAAAGCCUUACGGAGCAACGCCGCGUGAGUGAUGAAGGUCUUCGGAUCGUAAAACUCUGUUAUUAGGGAAGAACAAAUGUGUAAGUAACUGUGCACGUCUUGACGGUACCUAAUAAGAAAGCCACGGCUAACUACGUG